GGGACCAGAUGGGAGAUAGUUGAGUCGUGGGGGCAGGUCUUUCCCCAUGCUGUUCUCAUGAUAGUGAAUAAGUCUUAUGAGAUCUGAUGGUUUUAUAGGGAAAAACCCUUUUGCUUGCUGUCAUUCUUCUCUUGUCUGCCAUCAUGUGAGACAUGCCUUUCACCUUCCGCUGUGAUUGUGAGGCCUCCCCAGCCACGUGGAACUGGCUCAGAUGAGAUGAGAGCACUGCAGGAAGAAGAAAAACAAGUUCCCGAGUCUCCCAAAGCCAACAGUCCCACAGAGCACAGGCCUUUUCUAAGUGGAGAGGAGGAAUUUUGGUGUAAAUUGCCAGAUCAGAAAUUUGGAUCCAAAGUCUUUCCUAUUAUCUCUGUCUCAUGCCUUAUCACCUCUACCAUCAUUCUAGUGUGUCCUGAGUUUGUUCCUUCUGGUGGGUUCAGGGUCUGGCUGACUUCAAGAAUGAAGCCACAGACCCUUGGAGUGAGUGUUAUAGCUCUUAAAGUUGGCACAGACCCAAAGAGUGAGCACAAAAUUUACUGUGAAGAGCGAAAGAACAAAGCUUCCACAGCAUGGAAAGGGACCUGAGCAGGUUGCCGCUGCUGGCUGGGGUGGCCAGCUUUUAUUCCCUUAUUUGUCCCUGCCCAUGUCCUGCUGAAUGGUCCAUUUUAAAGAGUGCUGAUUGGUCCAUUUUACAAACAUCUAGCUAGCCACAGAAUGUCAAUUGGUGUGUUUUUACAGAGCACUCAUUGGUGCAUUUAGAAACCUCUUGUAAGACAGAAAAGUUCUCCAAGUCCCCACCCAACCCAGAAGUCCAGCUGGCUUCACCUCUCACUACAGAAACCGAAUCUGUGUCUAAAAGAGGAUUAAAAGGUAUUACCUGUUGGCUGAAGUCCAGAGUGUCCUGGGAAAAAGAGGAAACGAUAUACACUUAAAAGAUAUGGAAGCAAAUCUGUCCUCCAACACAAUGUCCCAGCCCCAGAUCUCCCACCUGAGAGUUCUCUAACACCACAACCCACACCAACCAGGGCAGAGAAGAGCAGAAACAGACAUGUGACCCAUGAAGCGUGAAGUGUCUGUCACAGGAUCCAGUGUAAUUCCAUUAACCUUAGUGGCUCUUCCUUAAUUUGCUCCAGGGUCUCAAACCAAAGGACCCCUACUUGUUAACCUUCCUCUCGUCUCUGCAGGCCACAAGCUAUUAUGCUUUGACAUAGUAACCAUGCACUAUUUCUGGAUUAGCAGGACAGUAGAGCCGUUUGCGGAAAGAAAGGCUUUAUUCAGGGCCACUCAUAUACUGAGAACUAACUUCAGCAAAGCCAUAGUUCUUCCUGCAGGAAAGUCUAUGGAGAGAGCCAGCUACCAAAGGCUCCUCACCUUUCUGAUUCCUGAAGUAGAUGAACAGCCCGGCCCCAAGGAAGAGGAGGCCCAGCACAAAGCCCCCGACUCCACUCAGCAUCUUGCUCUGUGCAGAUUCAGACCGCGCUCCUGAGAGAGGAAGCCAGCUUUAGUGAUGUUCAAAUGGAACCUCUUUAAUUGAGACUCUAAGAUUCAGAGCUUUGAAAAUGGGGAAGAAGGCUGCCCCACAAGAGCUAAAAUAACUAGCCAUUUCUGGAGAAAAAAAGGAUUUCAAAUCACACUGAACAGCUACAAGGUGCAGACAUCAAACUCAUUCAAAUAUUACAGCAUUGAUGUAAGGCACGAGUUCAACAUCUGAUCCACAGAAAGCCUGAGACUCAAUGAGGCUAAGUAGUUUGUCUAGACUGGCAGAGCUAAUAAAAGGCAGAGCUGGGAUUGGACUCCCCUCAUGUCAGGUAGGCCCCUAAGCUUCUCCUCUUCCCAGAUCAAAACAAGUAACUCAGAGCAGCAGCACCAGAAACUCAGUCUCAGACCCAGAGGCAGGGCCUGGAGCCUGGGGAGAGUGGGUGACCCUGACCUUUGACAUCAUGGGGAGAUUCAAAAAAAAAAAGCAUGACUGAUUCCGCAGGGGGUACAGGUGUUUCUAGAAACUGUUACAGGGCUAUCCCCAGUGACCUGUGCUGAUGGAGAUGAGAACAUGGAGCAAAUGAAAAUAGGAUGUGGGAGAGGAGAAACCUGACACUCAGGGAUUAGCACAGUCCCCUUCUUGGUGGGUGAGAAAUGUAUGAAGUCAGAAAGCUGCUCACUCCAUUCCACUGUGAGAGGUCUCGUUACACUUGGGUGCUCCACUUGGCAGGUGUAAACCUCUCCACUCCGAGGAACUGUUUCCAGCAUCACCAGGGUCUGGAAGGUCCAGUCUCCAUUCUGGAUCAGGCCUGUGGACACCACCCCAGCCUUCUCUUCCUGGCCGUUCCGGAACCACCUGACUUCAAUGCUGCCUGGAUAGAAACCACUCACAGAGCAGACCAGGAGGCUGUGGUGCUGCAGGGGCUGGGUCUUUGCAGGAUACACAGUCACCUUAGGAGGGACUAGGAGAAAAAAUGGUAGAGGGAAUGAGUCAGGAAGACAGAGUAAUUCUCCUGGUUUGGCUGUUUGUCUGCUUCUCUGCAAACCCAGGCUCUGACCUUGACGAGGCCUCCAGCACAGCUGGCCAUGUGGCCUUACAGUGUCAUCAGCCUGGAAUUUAAUCUUGAUAGUGAGGACCCAUUAUAUUUGAGGGAUGUGAAAAAUUGUGUUUGCUUCUUCAUAGCUUGAAAUUGGCAUGCAUUGUGAAAGUGUUUACAAAUCUUUGAAAGUACAGAGUGUAGUAAUUAAAACUGAUAUCUGAGCCAGGUUGCCUGGUUCAAAUCCAAGGUCUGCCUUUUACUGGUUGAUCCUGGAAGAGUUGAUUCUUCUGUGUCUCAACUUUGUCACCUACAAUGAAGGAUUAUUAUAUUAAUUUACCUCUUGGGGUUAUAUGAGGAUUAAUUUACAUAAAAUACAUAAAACAAUGACUGAAGAUAGCCUUCAAUUUAUGAGGUCAGAAAGCUUCUCACUCCAUUCCACUGUGAGGCGGCUCAUCACACUUGGGUGCUCCACUUGGCACCCUUUUAUCAUCCUUGUAUACCUCGACAGAAAAAUAUGAUUUAAAGCAAUGUGCAUAGACAAAGGGACAGAGUUGGGUACAUGAGGAAACCGCGUAUGAAUUUUUAGGAAUACUACCGCCAUGCACUCACACCUUAGGACACCACAGAAAUGGUUCUACCCCUGGGAAGGUGGGACAGACAGAAAUGAUUCUCCAAAUUUUUACAUUCCUAGAAAAGCAUGAGUCCUAAAGCAGAGAGAAGGAUUUAGGAGCAUCGUUUUAGUUUUUAAAGUUCUUAUAUUUACAUUUAGCUGCUCAGUGUAUCCCCGUGCAACACAAGCAUAAUUAUUAUCAGGCCUAUUGUAAAAUGAUUUUUCUUUCCAGAAUCACAUUUGGAUUAAGGCAGGGUCUGGAACCCAUUACUCGGGGUGCUUAUGCCCAGGAAAAUCCCUGACACUAGCAUACUCUCAAUAAAUACAAUUUUUUAGAGGUAAGGAGAAACCUAGAGACAAAAAUACCACAAAAUGGUGGAUUUAAGAUGGAUUGUAAAUCAUUAAUAAAAUUUUUGCAAUACAUUUUAUUAAAUAAAAAUGUUCAAAUUCUUAA